rnacentral:rRNA from 1 species
GGAGGGUGCAAGCGUUGUUCGGAAUUACUGGGCGUAAAGCGCGUGUAGGCGGUUCUUUAAGUUUCGUGUGAAAGCCCUCGGCUUAACCGGGGAACUGCGCGGGAUACUGGAGAACUUGAAUACGGGAGAAGAGGGCGGAAUUCCCAGUGUAGAGGUGAAAUUCGUAGAUAUUGGGAGGAACACCGGAGGCGAAAGCGGCUCUCUAGACCGAUAUUGACGCUCAGACGCGAAAGCGUGGGUAGCAAACAGGAUUAGAUACCCUGGGUAGUCCACGCCGUAAACGAUGGAUGCUAGGUGUUGCGGGAGUUGACCCCCCUGCGGUGCCGACGCUAACGCAUUAAGCAUCCCGCCUGGGGAUUACGGUCGCAAGACUA